rnacentral:rRNA from 1 species
GUAGGGAAUAUUGGACAAUGGGCGAAAGUCUGAACCAGCCAUGCCGCGUGAAGGAUGAAGGCCCUCUGGGUUGUAAACUUCUUUUAUCUGGGACGAAAAAAGGGUAUUCUUACUCACUUGACGGUACCAGAGGAAUAAGCACCGGCUAACUCCGUGCCAGCAGCCGCGGUAAUACGGAGGGUGCAAGCGUUAUCCGGAUUCACUGGGUUUAAAGGGUGCGUAGGUGGGUAUUUAAGUCAGUGGUGAAAUCUCCGAGCUUAACUCGGAAACUGCCAUUGAUACUAUUUACCUUGAAUGCCCUGGAGGUAAGCGGAAUAUGUCAUGUAGCGGUGAAAUGCUUAGAUAUGACAUAGAACACCAAUUGCGAAGGCAGCUUACUACGGGGUGAUUGACACUGAGGCACGAAAGCGUGGGGAGCAAACAGGAUUAGAAACCCUAGUAGUCC